ACACUUUCAGAGAACCAGAGAGAGAGAGAGAGAGUGUGUGCGCGAUAGAGAGAGAAAAUCGAAUCACGGCAAAUCUCUGAAGCUCCACACUUUACAGGCAAGUACUCAUUUCUACACUCUUUGCUUUGAUUGAAAGCAUAUUAUAUAUAUAAUACACCACUGUGUUUGUUCAAGAAAUGACUAUAUAAAUCUGCAAAAGUCUCAUCUCUCUCUCUCUCAAGAACUUUCCACAUCCCAACAAGACUUGAAUCUCUGUUCUCUCUCUCGGCUUCUUCUCCUCCUCACCAAAAAGCCCCAUUAUGGUGGCCGAUUACUUGCUUGAUAGACUCAAAAAUUUUCCUGAAACUGCUUCGAAAGUCUCUUCCGUAAAAUGUGAAAAGGCCUGAAGAAACCGAUUAAAGUAGGUUUUCUGGAGCAACACGCUCCUCAAGUUUUACUGCAAAAUUGAGCGCUCCAUCAAACCCAAAAUCAAGCUUUUUCAGGACUGGGUUUUUCUUCUAGCGAUGUCGUGAAAACUGUUUUGUCUGACCCACAUAUUCUAACUAGUUGCUUGUAUAAUCGGCUUGGCCCGACGAAUUUAGCAUUGAAGAGUAUUUUUGGUUCAAGUAUGGAAGUGUAUAGGGUUUUGAAGAAAUCUGCGAGGAUUUUGAGGUAUGAUUUGGCCAAUACUAUGAUACCCAAUAUUGAAUUUAUGAAGAGUUGUGGAAACCUAUCUAAUUAAGACAACUAAAAUCAACUAAAAUCACGUUCCUCUUCGUUCCAUAAUCCUUCAUUCCUUCUCUCCCAAGUAACUGUACUAAAUUUAUCACCGCCACUAGUGACUUAAUUCCUAAACCUAUUUCUAUAUAUAGCCCUCUAUUAUCAGCGCCUCAGCCCUCUUUUUCAGCCCUAUUAUCAGCGCCUAAUAGCACAAAUAUGUUGUCCAUGCCUCUAGGGUUUGGUUCGCCCCCACAUAAGAACUCCUCACCCACUUUCUCAGAAGAAAAGUGAAGCAAAAAUCGUUGCCGGAUAUGUGACUUGGGAUGGCCAAAACAAGCUUGAGGAAAUUUAUAAUGGGCAGAAACAACUUAGAUGUUGGGUUUUGAAUCAUAUGUCAAGAAAGAUGAGUAGUCGAUCAUGCCAAGAGGUCAUUGGAUUAUGCAUGAGUAUUCGCUGGGCAAUGUGAGCUUAGAUAGGCUAGAAGAAGGUACUGAUCAUCAAGAUUAUGUGGCUUGUAAGAUCAAAAGAGAUAUUCUAAAUAUCUGAGGAGUGCACCAAAGCAUGUUCGUGAGCUAUCCAAAGAAGAAAACCCUAGUUGGAAGAAGAUGAAGAUGGGAUAUGAUCAUGAUGAGGCCUUUACAAAUACUCCACAAAAGACUUUGACUCUAAAGGAUCCUCAUGAGUUGCUUUCAACGCCGCCGUGUUCAUCAUUUGAUGAUGCAACUACUACUGCAACGUCUUUCGAUUUUCAGCCUCUGCUAGCAUAUUAUGAUGAGACUGCAAGACUUUUUGAUCUGCCUAACAUCACAAUCAACUCUUGUGGUACAAUACAAGGCCUGCAACAGAUAGACUCAUUUUUUGACAACUUUGAUGCAGCUACUACUGCAACCUCCAUUGUUCAAUAUUCAGCCGCUGCUACCACAUGAUUAUUUGCCGAAUUCGGUAGAAAAGGAACUGACAAACCAAGAUGUGGUGGUGGUUCCAGAUAAGAAAUCCGGUGGCAGCAGUGGCAUGACGAUAACGGUGACUGUGUCCAACUCCACCCUGUUCUCAUUGGUGGUUCCGAAACCGCCAAGUGGGUACUUCACCAUUUCUAGGAAAAAGCUGUUGAAGAAGGUUGAAAUUGAAACUGGUGCCGGAGCUAAAAUCAAUGCAUGGGUUGACAAAAUGUGAGCCUCUUCUCCAACUCAUAGAUCAUCCCCAGCUUCUACUGAUCAAGACGCGAACUCUUGGAUUCUUCUCAUCCCUCAGCGUUAACCAUGUUCGAGCAGCUAACAAAUGCUUCGAAGGGGAAGCAAAUAGUGAUGUUCUUGGAUUAUGAUGGUACCCUCUAGCUGAUUGUGGAAGAUCCGGACCGAGCUUUAAUGCCCAAUGAGGUUUAUAACUUUGUGAGUUUAUCAGAGCUGAACUCUUCUUAUACAAUAUUAGCAGAAGACUCGUUUUCAGAGGACAUUGAUCUAGAAACGCAGGAACAACUCGUUUUCGCAGGAGCAUUGAGUUGUUCCUGCGUUUUUGGAUCAAUGUCCACUGAAAACGGUCUUCUAUUGAUAUUGUAUAAGUAGAGUUCAUUAAUGUGAUGUUGGGUAGAUCAAAGAGCCUUGCAGUCUCAUCCUAAUAUGCUGGCUGAGGCUGAAAAUCGGAAAACGGUGCAGUAAUGGUUGCAUCAUCAAAUAAUAAGCACGGCGGCGUUGGAAGCAACUCAUGAUGAUCCUUUAGAGUCAGUGUCUUUUAUGGAGUACUUGUAGAGGCCUCAUUAUGAUCAUAUCCCAUCUUUUUCUUCUUCUUCUUCCGAUUAGGGUUUUCUUCUUUGGAUACCUCAUGAACAUGUUUUGGAGAGCAAUGCUUUGGUGCUCUCCUUAGAUAUUUAGAAUCAUCUCUUUUGAUCUUGCAAACAACAUAAUCUUGAUGAUCAGUACCUUCUUCUAGCCCAUCCAAACUCACAUCGCCUAACGAAUACUCAUGCAUAAUCCAAUGACCUCUUGGCAUGAUCGACCACUCAUCUUUCUUGACAUAUGCUUCAAAAGUGUUUCUGUCCGUUACAAAUUUCCUCAGGCUUGUUUUCGCCAUCCCAAGUCCCACAUCUGGCUCUCAGAACAAUUCUCUUCUUCUUACCGCCAAUUUUCUUUAACUGGGUGAAGACGUAAAUAACAAAUUCCUUGGUCUUCAAUGAAUGCUAUGGAUCUGCCGCCGUUAAUAUAUUCCAUGGCGCUUUGCCAUAAAUUUGAUAUCUCAUUUGUUGUUAAUAAUCCAGUAUUACUUGGUUUGAGCAUUGAGAAUAGGCUUAAGCCACUGCUAAGGGUUUUGGAGGUUUUAGAUAGGAGGAAUUUGCUUCUUAAAAAGCCGAGUUUGACGAAUGUAUGCAUGAUACCUGAGAAGAAGUUUUUUGAGAAAUAUAUACUCCCUUAUUCAAAUGAAGUUGGUGAAUUAUUUGUGGUUAAGAAGAAUUCAUUGGCAGCAGAAAUAUGUGCUUAAGAUCAUGACAUUCUUUGUGCUCAAGACUCAGACUAAAUCUUUUUCCGGAAAAGCAAAUGGCUUGGCGGCAUAGUAUGGCAGGUAAGUAGGGACUCUUUAGCGCUAGAUAUUCACAUCUUUUUCUUGUAUCCAUAUGGUGUACUACUCUGAAAAACAGGGAUUAAUUUUUGUUUACUAGGCUUGGCUUGUUGGCUGUUCUGUUUUCUAA